AUACCCUAAUCCAUCCCCUCUUCUCUAUCCAGCCCCUGUACAAGUCACGCAGGAGGCCUUCGUCCCACUUCCCCCCAUCCCCUCUUCUCCCGAUCCAACCCCUGCGUGAGCUGGAGGAGGAGGAUUGCGCGAGCUAGAGAACUCCAGUACCCUCCUACCCCCACCAUGGCGAGGCCUUCUUUCCUGAUCCGUAGGUAGGUAGACGACCAGAUGGUGAGGACGGGGCCCUGCUCACUGUCGCCUCAUCUCCACCAAGAUUGAGGCUGAUCCGCUCCUGCACGCUGUUGGAGAACUCCGUGAGGAUAUCUCCGCCCGAGCCAGAGGUAGAUGGCGAGGACGAGGGGCUGCUCAUCGCUGCCUCAUCUCCUAGCGUUCGAGGCCGAUCUGCUCCUGCAUGCCGCUGGGAAUCCCACGCCAAGGUCAAUCUGCUCCAACACACGCGUUUGUCGUGACAUGGUGACAGCUACGAGCAUCUUAUCCACAACUCUCUUUUCUUCCUAUUCAUUUCUUUCUGUGGAUUUAUCUGGUGGAUGCAUCAGCUGAGUGGAUUCUUCUUAAAUUGUUUCAACUAGACUGCCGCUGUUAUCCAUCGGGGGAUAUUAUACUUAUACCAAGUGCCGCUCUGAUUCAUCACACAUACAACAUCAGAGCUAGGUAUUGGUGUGUCAACGAUUAAAGCUAAGGAUCAACUUGCCUAGAAAGACAACACAGAAGGACCUGAUGCAUUAGGCACUGCUUGGGUGCAUCAUGGGCGCCGAGGAAUGUAGUUGACCAAGUUUUCAUGCAUAGUUACUUUGUGUUGCAAACAAAUUCUGACUUCAAUGCGAUAAUUUGGACCUCAGUUCUUAUGACAAGUACUCAUGCUCUUUUCAGACAAAUGCUUUGAGACAAAGAAAUUGGUACUCACUUUG